ACAGGAUAAGUGGGAAGCUGCAAUGGAAACACCCAGAAUCAAUACAUAAAAUCCACCACUGAGGACCUAAAAAUUUAUAGGAUGCAAAUAUCAAAGCUUUCAAAUUUCAUCACUUUUAUUUCACUGUGAACAUUAGUUUUUUUAAAAAAUCAGGUUACCUGUUCUACAAUUCACUCUGCUCCAAAUCACAGUUCUGGUAAAACAGUUCCCAGAAACAAAACAAGAAAUUCACUCAAGUGCAAAUGCAAUUUUCUUUCUCUUUUUAUAAAUGGUAAGCAUGGCUUUUGUUUUAGGUGGAACUGAGUGAAACUGCUAAAGACUCUGUUAGGACAGGUGCACAACUCUAAGGCACACACACAAUCAGAGAAAAGAAGAAAAACAGAACAUGAGAUUUAUGUUGUUCAACUGUAAAGUUUACAUUCAUAAACACCACACAAGAGAAA
rnacentral:misc_RNA from 1 species